CUUGUUUGGAGGUUUAAUAUUUCAUCCAUCAUUAUACAUAUACACAGUGAUGAUGAUGAUAAUGAUUAGCAGAUCCCUCUAUUUUCUCUUGUUUUAUCUUCCUUCUCUGAUGCUUUCUCUCUCUCGUCCUGUUCUCCAAUUUUAGGGUUCAACUGCUCUAAUUUCAUAGAAUUUAUGAAGGCUCAAGUCAGUAAUUUGUUGAUUUUGGAGAUAUUAAAUCCUAGAUCGCCCGAGCAACACCAAUUCUUUAGGGAAUAGUUGGGGUUUCAAUGGAAGUCAUGGGAUUGAUGUUUGGGGAGUUUGUAGAUGAAUAUAUUAUUCAUGUGGUACUGGGGUUAGUGUUGAAUCUGUUCACCCUGUGUUCCAGACUAAUAUGUUGGAUAUGCUUAAGCAGACUUGAAGGUCAUCUGUCUCUCUCUAUAUUGCUAAUAUUAUGUUUUAAGUCUAUAAUGUUUAGUGUGUGAGUUAUUUGUAGGUGAUGAGUUGAAACAGAUACACAUUAUUACGGCUAAAUUUAAUGUUACAUACUAGGAUGGUAAAAUUCUCAUGUGUAUUUACAAUGGACUAACAUCUGACUGUUGAGCUGGGACUGUUGGGGUAUGAUUGGCUAUAAAGGGGUUGGAAACAAUCAGCAGAGAACAUCGUUGUUCCAAGACAAUCUUGCACUCUACCUGCACUUUAAAAGUUCCGAGAUGAGAUUUUUAGAUCCUCUCCACCUUCCAUCCACCACCAUCUCGAGAAUCAGCACCAUCAACACUUCAUUUACACCUCUCGGACUUAGGAGAAUUGCCUCUCACCUAUUUGUGAAAUCACUCAACAGCUCAUCCCUAAAACUCGCCACCAGUUUCCCUCAUAACUUUUUUCAUCCCGUCACCACCAUAGAUUCCACCUCCACGGACCACCAACACCUCCCUCAAUGUAUCACCAGUUCCUUUUACACAUUCAUGAUGCCACCAGCUAGCUUCAUCUUGUAUUUAAACAACAACAACAAUUCUAACUCCACAAACUCAAUAUCGUACAGUUGAUGUCCCAGAUGAUAGGUUGUGUCAAAUGGGUGAUAUGUUAUUUUCCUUGACCUUUUUUAUUAUCUUUUUAAAAUUAUCAUAAAUAUUUCUGAGCAUAUCAAUUUAUGUUACUGGACUUUGAUCAGUCAACUGAGUGGUAUGGGGUGCACAGCAUUAGGUAUAAACAAAUCUUACCUAGAAUUUUUUUUUUUGAAGUUAGCUAGUCUAUCUGCAUUGAGUUGGUCUGGACGUUGGUAGUUGUACAAAGAUGUCUAGGGUUCAAAUGCAC